GAUGUGUGUUAGACGUUGGAAAUUUAUUUUCAGUGUCGCAGCGAAAGCGAUAAACACACCGCCUGGGGAGUACGACCGCAAGGUUAAAACUCAAAUGAAUUGACGGGGACCCGCACAAGUAGUGGAGCAUGUGGUUUAAUUCGAAGAUACGCGCAGAACCUUACCAACACUUGACAUGUUCGUCGCGACUCUAAGAGAUUAGAGUUUUCGGUUCGGCCGGACGAAACACAGGUGCUGCAUGGCUGUCGUCAGCUCGUGUCGUGAGAUGUUGGGUUAAGUCCCGCAACGAGCGCAACCCUCACUUUUAGUUGCCAUCAUUAAGUUGGGCACUCUGAAAGAACUGCCAGUGAUAAGCUGGAGGAAGGUGGGGAUGACGUCAAGUCCUCAUGGCCCUUACGUGUUGGGCUACACACGUGCUACAAUGGUAUCUACAACAGGAAGCAAGACGGCAACGUUAAGCAAAUCCUUAAAAGAUACCUCAGUUCGGAUUGCACUCUGCAACUCGAGUGCAUGAAGCUGGAAUUACUAGUAAUCGUGGAUCAGCGUGCCACGGUGAAUGCGUUCCCGGGUCUUGUACACACCGCCCGUCACACCAUGGGAGUUGGUUCUACCUUAAGGCAAGGUUUUAAACCCUUGACCACGGUAUAGUCAGCGACUGGGGUGAAGUCGUAACAAGGUAACCGUA
rnacentral:rRNA from 1 species